CCUACGGGGGGCUGCAGCAAGGAAUCUUCCGCAAUGGGCGCAAGCCUGACGGAGCGACGCCGCGUGGGGGAGGACGCCCUUCGGGGUGUAAACCCCUUUUCUCGGGGAAGAGGGCGCGAGCCCGAAGACGGUACCCGAGGAAGAAGGCCCGGCAAACUACGUGCCAGCAGCCGCGGUAACACGUAGGGGCCGAGCGUUGUCCGGAGUUACUGGGCGUAAAGCGCGCGUAGGCGGCCGCGUGGGCCCGGCGUGAAAGCCCCCGGCUCAACCGGGGG
rnacentral:rRNA from 1 species